GGGUCAGUAGGUUGGUCGUGCCACCGGUACGUACUGGUCUCACUGAUUCCUCCUUCCUGAAGAACCGUAAUGACAUUAAUUUGGUGUUGCGGGGAAACAGGACUGUUACUUUGAAAAAAUUAGAGUGUUUAAAGCAAGCUAACGCUUGAAUACAUUAGCAUGGAAUAAUGAAAUAGGACGAUCGAUCCUAUUUUGUUGGCUUCUAGGAUUGACGUA
rnacentral:rRNA from 1 species